GACGAACGCUGGCGGCGUGCUUAACACAUGCAAGUCGAACGAAGAGCGACGGAAGCUUGCUUCUAUCAAUCUUAGUGGCGAACGGGUGAGUAACGCGUAAUCAACCUGCCCUUCAGAGGGGGACAACAGUUGGAAACGACUGCUAAUACCGCAUACGAUCUAAUCUCGGCAUCGAGGAUAGAUGAAAGGUGGCCUCUACAUGUAAGCUAUCACUGAAGGAGGGGAUUGCGUCUGAUUAGCUAGUUGGAGGGGUAACGGCCCACCAAGGCGAUGAUCAGUAGCCGGUCUGAGAGGAUGAACGGCCACAUUGGGACUGAGACACGGCCCAGACUCCUACGGGAGGCAGCAGUGGGGAAUCUUCCGCAAUGGACGAAAGUCUGACGGAGCAACGCCGCGUGAGUGAUGACGGCCUUCGGGUUGUAAAGCUCUGUUAAUCGGGACGAAAGGCCUUCUUGCGAAUAUUG
rnacentral:rRNA from 1 species